AACUGUUCCGGUGGACAAGUGGUUAGAGUCUCCGCCUCAGAUGCGGGAGGUUAUGGGUUCGAUCCCCGGUCGAGUCA